CUCUCCUGUCUCCCCCUGUCUGGUACAUGUACCUCGUCUGCCCUCUCCUGUCUCCCCCUGUCUGGUACAUGUACCUCGUCUGCCCUCUCCUGUCUCCCCCUGUCUGGUACAGGUACCUCCACCACACUCACCCCUCUCUCUCUCUCUCUCUGGCCUGUCUCCCCCUGUCUGGUGCAGGUACCUCCACCACACUCAUCUCUCUCUGUCUCUCUGUCUCUCUCAAAUCCUAUUCUAACCACCUCUCGUAUUCAUGUUACCUGAUGAAAUUGCUGUAUAAUAUGAUCUUGUUGCCUUCUCAUGCACAUUCAGAUAUCAUAAAUCAACACUGCAGAGCUCUCUCUGCCGUGCUUUGAUUGUUUUACUGCUGAUGAUAUCUGGGAAUGUGUAUGUACACCCUGGCCCAUCAGCAGCUAGCCCCAAUUCUGACUUGUGCUCUAUUUGCUUCACUGAUUUAUGCUCUCGUAAAUGUCUGGGUUUUCUGCACGUUAACGUUAGAACCUUAUUACCUAAAAUGGAUCAAUUUAAGGUGUGGGUUCACAGCUCCAAUCCAGAUGUGUUGGUCAUUACUGAGACGUGGUUAAGGAAGAGUGUUUUGAAUACUGAUGUUAAUCUUUCUGUUUAAAACCUUUUUCGGCAAGACGGAUCUUCCAAAGGUGGUGAAGUGGUAAUCUUUACCAAGGAUCACCUUCAGUGCUCGGUUGUCUCCACCAAGUCUGUCCCCAAACAAUUAGAUUUUCUGGUUUUAAGCAUUAAACUUUCAAAUAGUUAUUUGUUGACUGUUGCUGGGUGUUAUCAUCCUCCAUCAGCCCCAGCCUGUACCCUACCUGCCCUAAGCUCUCACCUAGAAAAGGCUACUCUCCUCGAUGUUAUCCUCAAUAACCCUGAUGGGUAUCAGUCUGGUGUUUUCUGUAAUGACCUUAGUGAUUACUGAUUUACAGCCUGUGUUCGUGAUGGCUGAUCAGUGAAACAACCUGUCCUGAUUUUGUCAUAGACGCUUGGUAAAAAAACGUCCUUCCUUCAUGAACUGGCCUCUGUAAAUUGGUAUAGAAUCAGCUUGAUCCCCUCUGUCGAAGACGCUUGGACCUUCUUUUUUGAUAUUUUCAGUGGUGUUCACAAACACCCCCAUGAAGAAAAUGAGAAUUUAAAAACAGGUUCAGCCCCUGGUGCGACCGUGAUCUUGCAGAGUUACUCCACCAGAAGAAUCUCAUUUGGCAAAAGGCUCAGCCAGACAUACUCAGGCUGACUGGCUCUCGUUCAGGCAAAUGAGAAAUAAGUGCACUCAGGCUAUCCGGAAGGUCAAAGGUAGUUACUUUAAGGAGCAGUUCUCUCUCUGUGGGUCUCACCCCAAGAAGUUCUGGAAUAUGGUUAAAGACCUGGAGAAUAAACCCUCCUCCUCACAGCUGCCCAUGUCCCUUUAUGUUGAUGAUGUGGUUGUUACUGACAAGAAGCACAUGGCUGAGCUCUUUAAUCACCACUUCAUUAAGUCAGGAUUCCUAUUUGACUCUGUCAUGGCUCUUUGCCUGUCCAACAUUUCCUCAUCUCCCACCCAUUCUAAUGUGACUAGGCCGAUGCUCCUCUUUUUCCCCUGCCCCGCUACAAAGAUUCUCCCUGCAGGCGGUCACUGAAGGGGUGUCCACAUACUUUUGGCCAUAGUGUUUAUUUCUUCCACCUCCCUGAUAUCUGUCCAUUCCUCUCUUUCACAGUUCUCUCACUACUUUGACUCCACCUACUCCUCCUCCUUUAACCGUGAAGAGAAGAGACCCAUCUACAGCUUGAGGAAGGAGUCCAAGAGUUUCCUGGGCCAGCAGCUGGAGUUAGACCUCCCCCAAGAGGGACUACACCAGUCACACACACACCACACCACACCCCGUCUGGGACUGUGACGCUGCAGGAUGCUAGGGGACAGCAGGAGAACACAGCAGGCAGAGCAGCAUCCUUCUGACCCCUCAAUAAAUACUGAUAAGAGUGGUUCACUUUUAGUAGUGCAUCAGUGAAUGUGGACUACUGUGUGUGUGUGUUUUACUGUAUUUGCAGCCUUUGGAGCCAAAUGUUCUUUUGGAUCAACUCCCCCUGUUCCCUCUCUUACCCCAUCUCCCCUCGUCCCCUCACUCACUCCCACUCUACCCCCCCACACUCUCUCUCUGUGUCUCUCAAAUAGCAUUGUAGUUUUUUUUUGUAAAUUCUUUCAGUGUCAAGUAAAUCUCUUUGUUUUCCUCAUGAUUGGGUUGGGUCUAAUUAUGUUGCUGUGUUGGGGCUCUGUAGGAAGCAAAUCAAAUUUUAUUUGUCACAUACACAUGGUUAGCAGAUGUUAAUGCGAGUGUAGCGAAAUGCUUGUGCUUCUAGUUCCGACAAUGCAGUAAUCCAGCUAACAAUUCCAAAACUACUACCUUAUACACAAGUGUAAAGGGAUGAAGAAUAUGUACACAAAGAUAUAUGAGUGAUGGUACAGAGCGGCAUAGGCAAGAUGCAGUAGAUGGUAUCGAGUACAGUAUAUACAUAUGAGUAUGUAAACAAAGUGGCAUAGUUAAAAGUGGCUAGUGAUACAUGUAUUACAUAAAGAUGCAGU
ensembl:lncRNA